GACGGGGGGGGCAAGUGUUCUUCGGAAUGACGGGGCGUCAAGGGCACGUAGGCGGUGAAUCGGGUUGAAAGUGAAAGUCGCCAAAAAGUGGCGGAAUGCUCUCGAAACCAAUUCACUUGAGUGGGACAGAGGAGAGUGGAAUUUCGUGUGUAGGGGUGAAAUCCGUAGAUCUACGAAGGAAGGCCAAAAGCGAAGGCAGCUCUCUGGGUCCCUACCGACGCUGGGGUGCGAAAGCAUGGGGAGCGAACAGG
rnacentral:rRNA from 1 species